rnacentral:rRNA from 1 species
GCAGCCGCGGUAAUACGUAGGGGGCGAGCGUUAUCCGGAAUUACUGGGUGUAAAGGGUGCGUAGGCGGCACAUUAAGUCUGAUGUGAAAGACCGGAGCUUAACUCCGGGAUUGCAAUGGAAACUGAUGAGCUAGAGUGCAGGAGAGGAAAGCGGAAUUCCUAGUGUAGCGGUGAAAUGCGUAGAUAUUAGGAAGAACACCAGUGGCGAAGGCGGCUUUCUGGACUGAAACUGACGCUGAGGCACGAAAGCGUGGGGAGCAAACAGGAUUAGAUACCCC